GUCUACGGCCAUACCACCCUGAACGCGCCCGAUCUCGUCUGAUCUCGGAAGCUAAGCAGGGUUGGGCCUGGUUAGUACUUGGAUGGGAGAAAUACAUCCAAAAACACGAUGACUCACAUG
rnacentral:rRNA from 2 species